GGGCUCCUGAAGCUGCGUGCUUGGUUGAAGAGGAUGACCAUCCCCGACAGAGGACCAGUCUUUGGUCAAGGGUGUAUGAACAGCUGCACUCCCGUCCUAGAACCUCCAAAUGAGCUCUCAAGGUCCAAAGUGUGAGAGAGUGGCCGGGAGUGGU
rnacentral:sRNA from 1 species